rfam:Paenibacillus yonginensis strain DCY84 chromosome, complete genome.
UAGCCGGUGAAAGUCCGGUCACAGGAGGGGCCAAGCCCCUGUGUAGCUAGGAUACCUGCGUAUGGCGAAAGCUGUGCGUAGAAGCGUAUCGACGAAAGUACCUGUCGGAGACAGGGCGAGCAACAUGUCAGGCCGUAACAUAA